rnacentral:rRNA from 1 species
AUUCCAGCUCCAAUAGCGUAUAUUAAAGUUGUUGCAGUUAAAAAGCUCGUAGUCUGAGUCUUGGUCUGGUGAAUGAGCGUCCACGGUGUAUUUGGAUUUGUUUUCAUUGCAUUGUGCGCAUGCGAAUCACUGGCCGAUUUUGUACUUCGGAGGAACUUUUCAUGCUUUUCAUUAAGUGUGGAUUGGGAUUCCGAUAGUUUACUUUGAGAAAAAUAGAGUGUUCAAAGCAGGCGUUUAUUUGCCGUUGAAUACAUUAGCAUGGGAUAAUGGAAUAGGACAUUGGUUCUAUUUUGUUGGUUUACGGACCGAUGUAAUGAUUAAUAGGAACAGUUGGGGACAUUUAUAUUCCAUGGCUAGAGUUUUCAUCA